CUAAACACUGGGGUCUAUUGGGGGGAAAAGGGGAGGGCCAGUGGGAGGGGGAGGUGGGGAGGGAUAGCCUGGGGAGAAAUGCCAAAUGUGGGUGAAGGGGAGAAGAAAAGCAAAGCACACUGCCAUGUGUGUACCUACGCAACUGUCUUGCAUGCUCUGCUCAUGUACCCCAAAACCUAUAAUCCAAUAAAAAAUUAAAAAAAAAAAAAAAUUUAAAUGUCAGUGAACCAGCAGCUGCCCAGUCAGGGCAAAAAUGAUUACAUGAGGAAAGUGAUAGACAUACAAAAAAGCCUGGAGGGGAAACUGGGUGAGUGAGAUGGGGAAUGUGGGUUUUGAAAAGCUUCCAUAUCCCUGGAAGUGUGUAUAUUUUCCUCCAUGAUCUCAGUAUGUAGUACAUGCUCACAAAGCGCCUGAGAAUGCCCUAUGUUCACACCUCUUUUUCAGCUAAAGAUGUUUAAGAAAAUAUCUUUCAAAUUAUGAGUUGACCACUGAGCUAACAAAAUAGAGAUUUCAGUGAUUACACAAAAUACAGAAUGCAGUUUAUACAAAAAUAGUUUACAAAAUGUGAUUUCAAAACUUACCACAUGAUAGUAUUCAAAAUGAAAAUGAGGGAUCUAAUUAAACUAGAGAGUAAGAUCCAUUCUCAGAAAAAAGGAGAAAUAGAAACUAUUCCUGCAAAAGGCCAUUGAACAUACUUACUGGAAAAACACUUUAAAUUAACAGUCUUAAAUAUGUUCAUAGAACUAAAGGAAAUCACGUGCAAAAAAGUUAAAGGAAAUCAGAAGAACUAUGUUAACUCAAAUAGAGAACAUUAAUAAAAAGACAGAAAGUUUAAAAAGAGACCAAGUAGACAUUUUGAAGCUGAAAAGUGGAAUAACUAAAAUGAAAAAGUCACUAGAGGAGUUCAAAAGCAACUUUCACUAUGCAGAAUGAAGAGUCAGCAAGCUUAAAGAUAAGAAAAUUGUAAUCAUUCAGUUUGAGGUGCAGAAAGAAUGAAAUGAUGAAGAAAAAUGAAUAAAAGUUAAGAAAUCUGUGAGACACCAAGCAUAUACACUUUGGGAGUUCUCAAAGAAAGCAGGCAGGGAGCAAAAGAAUGGCUUUUUGAAGGAAUAAUAACUCCGAACCUCCCAAAUUUGAUGAAAAAUAUGAAUCUAUACAUCCAACACACUCAAUAAAUUUUAAGCAGUGAAAAUUUCUAAAUAUCCACACUGAGAGACAUUAUAAUCGACCAGUCAAAUACCAACAACAAACAGACUGUCUUGAAAGCAACAACAGAGAAGGAACUUUUCAGGUACGAUGGAUCCUCAAUAAGAUUAAUAUGCAAGUUUUUGUCAGAAACCAUGGGAUUCAGGAGGCACUGGGAUGACAAAUUAAAAGUUAAGAAAGUAAAAGAACCGACAGCCAAGAAUUGUAUGUCUGCAACACUCUCCUUCAGAAAUAAUGGAGAAAUUAAGACAUUCACAAGUUAAAAAAAGCUGAGAGAGAUUGUCUCAACCCUACAAUGUGUGUGUGUGUGUGUGUGUGUGUGUGUGUGUGUGUAAUUCUUCACUUGUUUUUCCUAUUUAAAAGAAAAUGUCCAUUGACUGAUGAUUGGAGAAACAACAUUUAGUUUAUUUCUACAAUAAAAUAUUAUUUGGCUAUAAAGAUAAUAAAGCAGUGGUACACGACAGAACAUUGCUGAAUCUUGAAAACAUGACAAGUGAAGGAAGCCAGUUACAGAAGGCUAUAUAAUUUAUUAACCCAUUUUUUGUGAAAUAUUUAGAAGAAGCAAAUCUAUAGAGAAAGAGAGUGGAUUUGUGGUGACAGGGUCUGGUGGCAGGUGGAACUGGAGGGUGACUUAUUAAUAGGUCCCCUGAGGUGACAAAAACAUUCUGGAACUGGGGAGUGAUGAGGGUUGUAUAACAUUGUGAACCUACUAAUUGUCACUGCAAUGUGCACUUAAAAUGGUUACAGUGUUCAUGUACACUUUUGUGUUCAUGUACAUUUUAUCACAAUAAAAAAGAGGCUGAGAAAUAGAUUCCAAAGUCUUUUGUAUGGUAAACUCCUGAGUUUGCUUGAGAAUCUGCCUGUCUUUUCUUCUCAGGACGCCAUCUCCUACCCAGAGUUCACCCUUGUUCUUCUAAGUAGAAAGCCUUCUUUCAGAUCAUUGUCCAAGAUCAGCCAGGCCCAACCCCAAAAGUGACUUCCUGUCUCGGAUCCAAAUGCUCAAAUGCAGCCCCGGGGCUAAUUUCAGUGGAAGUGAGAGAUUAUCCGAUGAGGAUAAUUCAUUUGGAGAGAAAAUGUUUGGCCUUAAGAAAGUGCUUUGCUUUCCUAAAGUGGAUCCUGCUUGCCAGUAAGUACAGAGUUUUUGUUUGUGUGGGGUGGAGUCCUCAGCAGAGUAAUUAAAUAUAUCUCUAGGAACACCACACAGCUCAUGUGUAGCUGACUGAUCCACCCAUCUGCCACCCCAACUGAAGGAAGGAACUGUAUUCUUACCUUGGCCCCUCCUUCAGCUGCAGUCCACUGGACAUGGACCAUUACAAGUGUGAAGCUUCCAGGGUUUUCAGUUGCUCUUCCUGCUGUUGUGGAGCCUCCACUGGUGUGACUCACACCCAGGUGAGCCUAGAGGAAGCUGAUUGUCUCUUAAUUCUCAAGGUCAACAUUUUUAGUGAACCCAGACUAAACCCCUAGGUUCUCAGGGACUCAGACUUUCAAAAUAUUACUUAUCAAAAGACAAAAUGCUCUUGGUUCUUUCUUUCUUGAUAGUCCUAAUAAAGAACAGACAAUAAAAAAAUUAAAUCUGUCAUAGUAUCAGUGAUAAUUGCCAUUGAGGAAAAUAUGCCUAGGCUGGAAGAUUGGUGGUGGAGGUGGAAAUGGCAGGGGAUAGAUUUCAGAAAAGGUCAUUGGACAAGACCUUUCCUAAAACUUGACUAUGUGACAUUUGAAAAGAGACAUUAAUGGUGUGAGGAGUGAGCCAUGUGGAUCCCUAGGGAGCAGGUGCAUGUGGGAGUCGCAGCAGUGGCAGGUGGCAGAGACAUGACAGAGCGGACAAGAGGUUGGUGUGAGUGGAAUCGAGUGAGCUGGGCUGAGAGUGGUGAGAUGAUGCCAAAGUGGCCAGGGGGGCCCUGUGAUAAGGAGCUCAUAGGAAAUGGUGGGAAACUGGGGUUUCAUUGUGCCCAAGAAGGGAAGGGGCUGGAGUGCUCAUAGGAUAUGCUCUAAUUCUCAUUUGAAAGGCACACUAGUCUGUUGUAUCCGUGUUGGACAUUGGGCAUGAGAGGCACUAGGCAGCCUAGCUGAAAGGCCCUUUCAGUUUACUAUCCUAGAGAGGAUGGUUUUGGUGUGGAAGUGGCAGAGGAGUGAGAAGUGAUUGGAUUUAGUGUUGAUAUAUAUAUUUUUUAAUUGUGGCAAAACAUACAUACCACACAAUUUACCUUCUAACAAUCUUUUUCAGUGUACAAUUCAUUGGCAUUAAGUACAUUUACAAUUUGUGGUGUUACAAAAACACCAAUAUGCAUUUCCAGAACAUUUUCAUCAUCCCAACAGAAACUGUACCCAUUAAAUGACAGCUUCCCAUUGUUCCUACCCUCAGCCCCUGGUAACCUGUACUCUCCUUUCUGUUUCUAUGGAUUUGCUUUAUUCUAGCUGCCUCAGACAAGUGAAAAAUCAUAUUUGUCUUUUUCUGGCUUAUUUGACUUACAGUGUUUUGAAGGUUCCAUCCAAUCCAAAUAUUAUUUACUUUUAAGGCUGAAUAAUAUUCCAUGCUCAUGUGCACCAUGGGUUGUUUAUCUAUUCAUCCUCUGACAGACACUUGUGUUGCAUCCACCGUUUGGCUAUUGGGAAUAGUGCUGCUAUGUGCAUGAGUGCACAAUUAUGUGUGUACAUACCUACUUUAAACAUUUGAGGGUGUAUGCCAAAAAGUGGAAUUGUUGGGUCAUAUGGAAAUUCUAUUUUUACUUUCUUGAGGCAGCAUCACACUGCUGCACCAUUGCUCACUCUCACUAGCGAUGCACAGUGUUCCAUUUUCUCCACAUCCUCUCCAGUACUUGGACUAGUGAAGCUGAGCAUUUUGUUAUGCCCCUCUUGGAGUUCCUUAUUUUGUGUCCUUAUUGUGUAUCUUUUCCGGAGGUCUAUUCAUGCAUUUUACCCAUUUUUGAACGUGAUUGCUUUGCUAUUGUUAAGUUGUAGUUCUUUAUUUAGUCUGGAUAUUAAUUAUUUAUCAGAUACACGAUUGGCAAAUAUUUCCUCCUUUUCUGUGCAUUUUCUUUUCACUCUUUUAAUAGUGUCGUUUGAUGCAAAAAAAGUUUUUACAUUUUGAUAGAGUCUAAUUUGCUAUUUUUUUAAAUUGUUAUGCUUUUGUUACCUGCCAAGAAACCACUAGCAAUUCUAAUGUUCGUAAGAUUUUCCUCAGCAUUUUCUUUUAAGAGUUUUACAGGUUUAACUCUUAAGGUUAGUUCUUUAAGCCAUUCUGAUGUAAUUUUUGUAUAGGGUGUAAUAGAAGGGCAAGAAUUUUUCUAGUAUCAUUUUUUUUGCAUGUGGAUAUCCAGGUUUCCAGCACCAUUUGUUAAAACACAUGUUGGAGUGGGGCUGAUCCAUUUGUAAGAUGCAGUGAGCACUAAUAUAUGGGAGCACCAUGGAUUUAUUUACCUGUCUUUCCUCUCGAGUUAUUUUGAGAAGGUUUUCACUGACAACCCAGCAGAAAUACAUGUAUAUGACUUCCUAUAAAAUAAAAUUCAAGUAAAAUUAUAAAUAUUAAAAUGCUAAGACUGGAGCAGGAUUAGAACAUCACUAGAAAAGCCAAACAUAGGCUGAAAUGGAGGGUUUAUGUUUACCUUGCUACACAUUCUGUUGGCCCAUCUUUACGCUUAUUGCAUAAGAGAGCCACAGGGUGGGUUGAGAGCUCACAUAACCAGUCCCUGGUUUUCUGCUUCAGAAACAAUUUCAAAUUCUCUACUUAGAGUAAGAAAAUUAACUGAAAGAUGUUGAAUGUGAAGUUGGCAUCUACAAAGUCAGACAGUGAGUAAUAAGUUUCAACAUCAGGAAUCCAAGGAGAUUCUAUCUUUUUACACAGAAAUGCCCCACCCUGCACUGCUGAAGGGAGCAGAUCCUUUCAGGGGAACUUCAUCAUGAAGAAAAUCCCUAUAUGAUGUAGAGGUUUUCUGCUUCAGCCCUAAAUUGCACUGUCCUUCUUUCUAACUGAAGGUCUCACAAAGUUUUAUAGCUUCAAUGGUUUCACCUGGGCCCAAUUUUUGUUUUUUUUUUUUUUUAUGUUGUUUGUUAGAGCUCCUGGUUGGGGCUUAGAGAAGUGACUUGGAUAUUUUGCCAAAAUGAUAUUUCUUUAAUGGAAUUUGAAAUCCACGAACACUCUGCUUUCCUGCUGUAUCCCAGAGAAGGGUGAAUACCCCUUGCCCUUCUUUUCAGAACGUCACUAGGAGUGGUACAAGAUUUGGAGCUAGGGCCUCCCUCGAUCUCUACCCUUUCUUUAAUUCAGAGGAUCACAAGCUGUUGGGGAAAGAGUGGUGUCUUGUGCCCCUCUUGAACUGAUUCAUAUUAAUAUUCAAUUUCUUGUGAGGAAGUCACAUGUGCAUGUAACAUCACUUCUGCGUGCAGUGUCAUGGGAGAGUGGGUUCCUGGGCCCCAGGUUAAGAGCCUAAGCGCUACAGGCAUAGAGCUAGAGCUCUGGGAGGGGAGGGAUGGCUGGGAUGAAACCUAGUCUUGUCCUUUAGUCCUGGGGCCUUUUCACUCCUCACAUGGUGGGUUGUGGGCGUCUGGCAGGUGCUGAUGUUGAUGGAGUUGAGGGAGGAAACUGGCUGGGACUGGGAAAGCAGGAUUGGAGAGAUAAUUAGGUCGGACAUUAUUUUUUCUGAGCAUAAUUCAUGGCUUGAAAUGUGGAGGGCCUGGAGGUAUAUCUCCCUACCCAAAGCGGUUUUUGCUUUUCCCUCAAGGCUCGUUUUCCACAGGUCUAGUGUCAACCCCAGGGGGCGCCCAAAGACCAUGAAGGCACAGCACAGCUGGGAUUUUCUGUGGUACUGGGUCCUUGACUUGACCAGGAAGCCAAGACUUUACAGCCAGGCCGCCUGGAUUCAACUUGCAGCUCUGGUCCUACUGACACUUUUCCUCCUGGUGCCUCAGUUUUUAAAUCUGUGAGAUGGUGAGGACGUUACAGCACUUACUUCUGGCGCGGGUUUCUCAACAGCAGCACUGUUAACCAUUAGGGACAGAGAGUCCCUUGUGGAGUGGGCUGUCCCGUGCAUUUUGGGAAGUUUGCCAGCAGCACCCCACUCACCCCCUCCCACCAAUUCCCAUAUGACAACUAAUAAUGUCCCAGGAUUUUGAGGUCUCGCUUGUGUCUAGGAGCUGCCCUUGCUCAGGCAUUUUCCCAUCUGACACUUGAGCUUAUCUCUGCUUUGGUCCACAUAAGGCGACUUUAAACAUAGUUGUUUAUUUAAAGAUUCUAUCUGUCUUUUAAAGAAAUGCAUUUUCUUCCUUUAUCUCACAUUCAGUUAAUCCUUCCACACUCUUUGUUUAGUAUACCUUGGAAUGUAUCAAUUCCAGUUCUAGUAACUAGCGUAUCUGACUUGCAUGAUACUUGCUAUGACCCCUAGUAGAGCUCUGAUUUCUUUAGCCCAGGGAAUGUGUUCUCAAUUCUGCUCUGGAUGAUGAAAAUCAAUUUAUUACACGUUAUUUGUUGGAAAUGUUGCUCCUCAUCUGUAAAAUGUACAUGUGGACAUGGCUUGAAUGACUAAGUGGUUUUAUUUCUUCAUUCCCCUGAUAAUUGUUGUGCACCUGCUGCAAGUCAAACACAUGGCAUGACAUUGCUUCCUUGAUCACACCAGAUCAAAUGAGAAAAUGAGACGUUAUAGCCAGGUGUAUUGGCACAUGCCUGUAGUCCUAGCUAUUUGUAAGGCUGAGGCAGGAGAAUUGCUUCAGCCCAGAAUUUUGAGGUUACAUUGAGGUAUUUCAGUCUAGGCAAUUGACCCUGUUUCUUAAAAAAAGUCAAAAGACAUGGUGAGCUGUCUACAUGUACUCUAUGUCUCAGGAGAUUCACAUCCUGUAAUUUUUCCAAAUGGCAUCUCUGUGUGCUUUUCAUGAAUGUUUGUCUGGUAUUUCUUUUCUACCCUUUUCUUUCAACUUUUUUGUACCUUCUACUGAAAUUAUGGCUUUUGUAAACAGCCUACAGAUAUUUAUAUAUUUACUUACUUUACCGCUCUGCACUAUUUGUCUUGUCAUUGGAGUGUGUGAGUUCUUUAUGUUUCAUGUCAUUGUUGGCCUCAUUGGGUUUAAGUCUGUACACUGUCAUUUGCUGCCUUCUAAUAUUAUCUCUUUUUUGUUCAACAAUUUUUCUUCUAUUGCUGUCUUUAGAGGAAUAAAAAACUUUGCAUUAUUGUAGUGUUCUGAAUAAGUGUUCUAGUUACAAAUUCUUUUAUUAUUACUUUAAUUAUCUGAGACAGCACAAUAACCCGUCACUUAUUAUAACCAACAGCAGACCAUAACUUCCCUGACUUCCACCUACCUGUGCAGACAGCCCAGGGGAGAAUCAGUGCCCUGGCUCUGAGACACAGCAGGGUGGAAGCAGGAGAGUAACUGGAUGAUGAAGCUGUAGCUGCAGAGGCAUCCAAGCCCCUCACCUGCACUCCUCGUACAUGUCUCCUCCACUGAAUGCCUGCGAUGGCCUCUCCUCUGUAUGCUCCUGCCAGAGUCUCCCCAUCUCCACUGACAGCAGCUCCUCUCUUCUACUCACUCAGUCCAACACUGUGGGUGUCCUUGAUUCUCUUUCUCACACCACAGAUGCAAUCCAUUAGCAAGUGCUGUGAAGUCCAUCUUCAAAUGCAUCCAGAAUCCCAUCACUUCCCACCAUUUCCCCUGCUCACACCCCAGUCAAGGUAACCAGCAUCUCCAUCCUGGAAUACUGUGCUCCUUCCCCACUGAUUCCCUAUUGCCUUACUUGUGCCCCACCUCUCAAUUCUGUUCUCAGCAAAGCAGCCAGAGAGAAGCUUUCAACGGAUAAGUCCCACCCUGUCCCACUUUACAAAACUGUCCUCUAACUCCCCAUGUGAUUUAAAGCAAAGAUCAAAAAGCCUACAUGCUCUGGCCACACCUCAGACCUCAUUUCAGUUUCUCUCUGUCCAGCCCUUCUGGCCUCUUCCUCCUUCCAGAAACACAGACACUUUCCUGCCCUGGUGCAUCUGCACUGAAGGUUCCUGCCUGAAAAGAGCUUUCCCAUCAUCCUUGUGGACAGCUUCUCACAUCCCUCAAGGCUUCACUCCAAGGUCACAUUUACAAUGAGGCCCAUGCUGACCACUCAGCACAACAGCCAUCCCCCGUCCCCACAGCCCACACUCUGGAUCACCUGCCCCACAGCACUUGCCACCUUCUAACUCAAACAUUUUCUGCUCUUACUCUGCUUAUACUGUAUCUAUCAUCUGCCUACAGAGGUGUCUAAUCUUUUGGUUUCCCUGGACCACAUGGGAAGAAGAAUUGCCUUGAACCACACAUAAAAUACACUAAUGACAGCUGGUGAGCAGAAAAUAAUCAAAAAAAAGAAAAUAAAUACAUGCAUAAUUUUUAUGAUAUCUGCCACCACAGAUAAGCAAAAACAUCUUCAUAUUCAAAGCUGUCCUGGGCCACAUACAACCUGUGAGCUGCAGGUUGGACAAGCUUGCAUCUAGAACAUAUACACUGGAAGUCUGAAAUUUUUCCUGUUUUAACUUUAAUGAUGUUUUCUAAAUGCGAAAACAGUCAUAUGCCUAGCAGACAACAAAUGUCAGUUGAAUUAAUGAUCACUGUAGGGCACCUCCUUAUUCUAAAGACAAUAUCUUUAUUAAUGCAGCCUCAGGCCAAAUGCUGUUUUGUGGCAGCUACAGAGCAACAUCAUCUCACACUGACAUCAGUGCUGCCAGAGCUUUUCUCACCAGGGCUGCAUGUGUUUCCUCCCUCCCUCUCUCUUCCCACAAAACCCUCCUGCACACUGCAGCACACAACCAUAUUUUUCUCUUCAGGAAAGAUAACCCUGGGCUUAUGGCUCCAAUUUUCCAACCACAUACGAAUGUAAGUCAGACUCUGUUUUAUAAAUCCAUGAGUUUGGAUUGGGGGCAGCACUAGGAUCACUACAACUCAGGCAGGAAGAAGAGUAGGAGAGAGAGCAGAAGGAGUUCCAACAGAAAGUUACCUAUGAUGAAAAUCCUUGGGACCCCUCUUCACUGCAAGUUUCCGAAUCUGCUUUCUUUAAGAAGAUUGGGGAAAUUUGGAAAAUACAAUCUGGGAAAGAGACACAGAAGGAGGGCAAGAGGUACGGGGGUCUGAAAAUUUGUCUCUUGAUCCCACAAUGGCUUCUAUGUGUAGGAACCACACUAGGUGGCAUCCAAGUCCCUGUGAUCACAGGCUGUGGCGGGACAAGGUUCUAUUGAAGGAUCAAGGACAAUGGAGCAGCAAAGAUGACCCAGCCAAGCAGUGACCACAUAAAGCCCACAGUGACCUGAGCAUCCACUGGGCACAGCCCCAUCUACUCCAUCCCCUGCAACAAAUCAGCACAAGAAACACGUGGACUGUGGAAGGUUCUCAGGUCUUCCAUUUAUUUUGUGUCUCAAAUUUCAGGAAUCUUCUCCUUUAAUUAACCCAUCAACCUCUCAUGGAAAUAAUUUGAAAAAGUAAACUAUACUUAGAUUCUAAUGUUAAUAGGAAAGGAAGAAGUUACAGCUCAGUGCACUGUAAAGUUGAGACAGAGGUGGAGACAUCCCAGCCCCGGGUCUCUGGAACAGGAAAGGUGACAGGGGAAGGAAUGCAAGUCAGCAUGGGGAAGGGGUCAUGGUGGACACGGGGCUGGUCUGGUCUUCCCACCUCCUCACAUUAUGUCUAUAAGGACACAGACACAUUCAGAUGCCUUUCAGAAAAAGAAGUCAGGGGUCUUGAAGUCACAAAGGGAAGGUGUGAACAAAACUUGCCUCUCAGUCCCACACAAGGCAGCUGUCUCACACUAUAGAAAAAUAUUCAUGAACAAAUUCAUAUCAGUCACAGUGAGGAGUGACACUUUAAAGAGCCCAUCACAUGCUCAAUGCAUCCCUCUCAAACAAACCCCAUAGCACAGCUGUGUACGCUGUUCUCCCCAACACCCACACACAUCAGGGUCCUCAGGGUCUCACUUUUACAAGGUGAUGUGAGAGACACAUCAGAGCCCUGGGCACUGUCAUUGCCUGGGAUAGAACAAAAACAGGACCUGGUCAGAACUCACAGGAGAUGCAGCUAUAGGAGGAAUUGUGGGCUAGGUGAGCUCCCCUACGGGCUCCUGACUACAAUACCCCAGUGAUCUCAGGAUCAGCCUCCUUCAUACUUACUUGCAGCCUGAGAGUAGCUCCUUCCUUUUCUAUCUGUGGGAAGAAAAUAUCCUGUGAGAACCCAGAAAGGUGGCAGGCCAUGAGGUCCUAGAGGAGCCUCCUACUCUUGGACCCCAGAGAAGUUUCCAGAAAUGUGUGACUGCAGACCCAGGGCAGGAUCAGGAAAAACAAGGAAAGCAGGUGUGGGUCCUGGACCAACUGCCCUCCUAAGGACUGUCCUCAGCAGUGACGUUCCCUUGUGACCUGUGACUGCUGGGAUCAGGUCCCCAUCACCACAGUCAUCAAGGUGAUACAUCUGUCCUUCAUUGUCGCAGGUGCUUUACACAAGAGUAAGUACUGGCACACAGGGCCCAGGCUGGGUCGGCUCAUGAGUGUGGAUGCUGCUUCCCAGUAACCAGGCAGGACACACUUCUACCUGGGGCUUGAAACUCUCAGUGGGACAAGAAAUCUCAGACCCCACUCCUAACCCCUUCCUCACCUGAGCUCUUUUUCCUCCACAUCACAGCAGCGACCACAGCUCCAAGGACAGCCAAGCCAGAAACGAUGCCCACGAUGGGGGUGGUGGGCUGGGAAGACAGCUCUGGGAAAGGAGGGAAAGGUGAUGGUUCUUGACCCCCAGGCCCCAACCCUGACCCUGCUGAAAGGCUCCAGAGGCUCCUGCUUUCCCUAAGAGAUAUGACACCCCCAUCUCCCUCCUUACUCCAUCUCAGGGUGAGGGGUUCGGGCAGCCCCUCGGUUUGCACAUGGCAGGUGUAUCUCUGCUCUUCUCCAGAAGGCACCACCACAGUCACCCACUUCUGGAAGGUUCCGUCCCCUGUGGGCCUGGUCUCCACAAGCCCCGUGUCCUGGGUCUGGUCCUCUCCAUUCUCACUGACAAGUCAGUGUGAUCUCCAUAGGUGGAAGCUCAGGGCCUAGCACCUCAGGGUGGCCUCAUGGUCAGAGAUGGGGUGGUGGGUCACGUGUGUCUUGGGGAGGUUUGAAGGGAAGAGUCAGAAAAUUCAGGCACUUUGUAUUCCUCAUGGGACACUCCAGCAGUGCCUGUGUGACCAUCCUGAGAAUGAACAGGACACCUGGGGUGGGGAAGGGAGCACAGAACCCAGACACCAGCCUGGACACAGGCACCUGGGAUAAUCUCCUGUUCCUUGGAAAGUUCUAGUCUCUGAGUGGAGGAGGAGGGACUGCUGGUCCUGUCCUGAGUAGAAGCCAUGGGACUCAGAGGAGCUGGAGUCAGACCCCCACACACAUUGAGUGUGAAGCAGAGUACCAGGCAGGAGAGGAAAUGGCUUAGUGCCCAAGGAUGCUGUGGGGUCACAGGUAACCCCUGAUCAGUAUUCCAGGGAUUUACUUCCCCUCCUUUCCCGCAGAGACUUAUCCCUUAUUGUAUCAGAGAGCAGGGCGGUCCCUCAGAGUCAUUCUCUGGCACAGAAUCUGGAAACCCAGGAGGAUUCCCGAGGACUAGAGGGAGGGCGAUAUUCGAGUGUUGGUCCCAUUUUCCUCCCUACUUCUGCAAGGCCAGACUGGGAGGUCUACAGGCCAUUAGGGAGGUUCCCGCUGGCCCCUGGUACCCGCGCUCUCCAGUGUCUCCUUCCCGUUCUCCUGGUGUCUGCGGAUCCAUUCCAGGCACCAGCCCUCCAGGUAGGCGCUCAUCUUCUCCGCCACAUUGUCCGCCUCCCACUUGCUCUGGGUGAUAUGAGCCGCCAGGUCCGCGGUGGUCCUGGAGCACAGGUCCUUGUUCAGGGGGAGGUAAUCCUCGCCGUCAUAGGCGUGCUGGUGAUACCCGUGGAGAAGGCGCCCUUCGGGCCCCAGGUCUCAGCCAAACAUCUUCUGGAGGGUGUGGGACCCUGGCCGCCCACCGAGCCCCGCCCCCGUCCAACCUUCGGGGAUUUUGUUCUAAACUGAAAACGAGACCCCGUAAAGGCGCCCGGGGCUCUCCCGGGUCGAGGGUCUGGGCAGGUCCCGCAGUCUCGGGAUGGAUCUCGGACCCGGAGAUUCGGGGUGACUCAGGCCCUCCGUCGGGGACGGGGAGGGGUCGUGACCUGCGCCCCGGACCGGCAUCAGUCACCGGCUUUGCUAUGGUUGUAGUAACCGCGCAGGUUCCGCAGGUUCACUCGGAAACUCUGUGCGGUGUUCUUGAAAAUCCGUGUCCCCGGUCCCAAUAUUCCGGCCCCUCCUUCUCCAUCCACGGCGCCCGCGGCUCCAUCCUCGAACUUGCCGCGUCGCUGUCGAACCGUGCGAUCUGCUUGUCGUCCACGUAGCGCACGGAGAUGAAGCAGGGUUCCCCGCGGCCGGGCCGGGACAAGGCGGUGCCGAAAUACCUCAUGGACUGGGAGCCUGGGGGCGAGGAGGGGCUGAGACCCGCCCGACCUACCUCCGGGCGCGGCUACCCCAGUCCUGCGCCUCCGCGGGGCGGGCUUCUCGCUCCUCCCGCAGAGACCGUUUCUCUCCCAACCCCGCACUCACCUGCUCAGGUCUCAGUCAGGGCCAGGGCCCCCGAGAGCAGCAGGAGGAGGGUCCCAGCGCCAUGGGUGGCUCGGGGAGCCAAGGGAGACUCGGGACUUUAGAACCGGGACAGCGGUGAGCUGACUGGCUUCAGGAACCCGACACCCAAUGUGAGUGGGAACUGGGUUCACGUCGUGAGUAUCCAGGAGGAAGGUCCCAACACAAGUGAGGAGGGGAAGAGAAACUGCGGAGAUGUGGAAUCCCCAACGCGGCUCCUCCCCAGUCAAUACACUGCCUUCCGGGCCUGAGACCCUGAGAGCCAGGUCUGGGGCCCUGGGACUUCGCCCUGACCCGGCUCCUCCUGUGCAGAGCGCUCUCUCAUUGUCUCCCUGAGUCGUGGCCCAGGAGCUGCUGAGAAACCAGAGAGAAACCCUCAGCAUGGGCCCCGUCCCUCUCCCUCCACUUUUCAUUCCGUAAUCCCCGUCCCUGAACUGGUCUCCCUGCCUCCCACUCCUUACCUCCCACUCCUUACCUGUCCCCCUGGACGCUUCUAGAAUAAAACUCACCCCAUGGAGCUUGGUUCCAGAGAGUGAGCUCGCCCUGGGAACGGAGGUGUAGAAACAGGGUGUUUUUUUAUUUUUAUUUUUUAAUACUGUAAAGUUGUGCCUGAGUGCAUGAGAUAGCAUAGAGACCAGUUUGCUUUUUGUUUAUUAACUACAGUGGGUAGCAGCAUCCUGGUAACCCCUGAAUGAUCAGGAAUCUAAUCGGUAAAACACGUGACUUUGGCCCCUUCAUAUGCAAAUGUGUCUAAAAGCAUUACAACAGGAGUCACAAAGCUCCUGUUUCACUUUCCCAGACAAUGUGUCUGUGACUCCAGCUUGUUGUAUUUUAAAUUUACCUUCAUUCCAUAGCCCUGAGCUACUGUGUGGGUCCAGGACACCUCCUCAGUUCAAAGUAGCUCACUGUGUUACCGAAUGUUGCAACCAGGAGCCAGUACAGACUUCGUUCACCUCACAGUUUCAAGUGUUCAAGGCUAUGUCACAAGCCCCCUCAUCAGUGCUCAUGCACUGCCUGUUUUUAGAAAGUUGCCACAUUUAAGCGGUGUGUACAUAUUUUAUAGGAACACUUAGUAUUUAUUGAAACCUGAUUAACAUAAAAAACAAUUCGUUUUUGGGCAGACCUACAAAAGGUAUUAAAGGCCAACUGCAAAGAACACCCCUGCAGGCUCUGUAGAUGGAUGUAUUAAAAAUCCAUAAAACAAUGUGUUUAAACCUAAGAAUUCUGUUGCUUUCCAUUUCCUUCUCUCUGCUCCUUUUCCUCACCUCCUGCUUCUCCAGCCCUUCCCUCCGUCCCUCCCAUCCCUCAGGCCCUCCUCUCCCCUUCCCUACCACCCUGUCAUUUCUGAAUUGUGGCUCUAGCACAGUUUCAUUAUCUGCUACAUGACUGUUCUCUCCACAAUGGUCUUGCUAUUGUGAAUCAAAGUAUGUCAUUUCUCCACCUAAAACACUCCAGUGGCUCCACCUUGGUCUUGUGAAGCUUCCAGAAUGUCAGGCAUGUGAGCAAAUGAGGACAGACCUGGUUCAUUGUGGGCACUAAAUUAAUUUUUAUUGACUGACUGAAUGAAAUAUGAGUGUAUUAAGUUGUAUCACAGAAAAUUAUAAAAUAUAAAACUCUGAAAAAGUUAAGACAGAUUUUAUUUAUGUAACUAGUGUGCGUAUCAAUUCAUCAAUUUAUUCCAUAAGUCUGUUGAGCCUGUGUAUGAAUUUUAUAAGACUGUGUAAUUAUUGAAAAUAUUGGCUUUAAACAACACCCAUUUAUUGUAUUCAUUCAUUUAUUUUUAGAGACAAAGUCUCCCUCUGUCAUCCAGGGUGAACUGCAGUCACAUGAUCACGGCUCACUGCAGCCUCAAACUCAAGGGAUCCUCCUACCUCAGUCUUCAGAGUAGCUAGGACUGCAAGUACCACCAUGCUCAACUAAUUAAAGAAAAAAAAAACUGUAGAGAUAACGGUCUCACUAUAUUAUCCUGGUGGUCUCAAACUCCUGGCUACCAGUGAUCCUCCUGUGUCAGCUCCUCAAAUGUUACGACUACAGGUGUGUGCUACCACGCCUGGCCUAACAACACCCAUUUAUCUGUUUAUAGUUCCUCAAUCAGAAAUCCUGGCCUGAUGUGGAUGGAAUCUCUGUUCUGUGCUUCCCAAAGCUGUGUUUUCAUUUUGAAUCCUCCUUCAGGCUUAUACAGCGGUGGCAGAAUGCAGUCUCUGGCAGAAGUAAGACUGAGGUUCCUGUUCCUUGCUGGCUGUCAAGGUAGAGAACAGGGAGGGAUGUGGUCAAUUCCUUCUUGCCUACACAGCCCCUUCAUUUUCAAAGCCCACAGUGGAGGAAACCCCUCAUCCUGAAUCCCUCUCACACCGUGAAUCUCUACGCUCAGGAAGGACCCAGCCUUUCAAGGGCUCAGCUGAUGAGGACAGUGCAAGCAGGAUAAACCCAGCCUAAAGUCAACUAAUUGAGGCCCUUAAUUAUAUCUGCUGGAAUCCCUUCACAGCAGGGCCUUCAUUAGAGUUGGUUGAAUAACUGGGGGAAGGUGAGUGACCAGCAGGUGGCUCUAGCACAGUCUCAUUAUCUGCUACAUGACUCUUCUCUCCACAGUGGUCCUGCUGUUAUGAAUCAGAGUGUAAUAAAAUACAUUCAAUUAAACACAAAAGGAAGAUCCAAUCCGUGCUAGGCUUAUUCUACGAUACGCCCAACAUACACAUGUAUGUAUAUUUAUAAUAGAAUGAUUUAUAUUCCAUUGGGUAUAUACCCUGUAAUAGUAUGGCUGGGUCAAAUGAUAUUUCUGGUUCUAAAAUUUGAGGAAUUGCCACACUGUCUUCCAUAAUCAUGGAACAAAUUUAUGUUUCCACCAAGAACAUAAAAGCAUUCCUGUUUUUCUGCAACCUUGUUCUGACUCCUAUGUUCUCAGUGGGAAGACUGGAAUGUUUCCUUCCAACUUCAUCAAGGAGUUUUUGGGGUAGUCAGAUAAACUUGGCAUUUCCCAGGAUGAGCAUCUGUCCAAGUCAAGUUUAAGGGAAACCACAGGCUCUGAGAGUGAGGGGGGUGACUCAAGCAGCACCAAGUCUGAAGGUGUCAAUGGGACAGUGGCUACUGCAGCAAUCCAGCCCAAAAACGUUAAAGGAGUGGGCUUUGGAGACAUUUUCAAAGACAAGCCAAUCAAACUAAGACCAAGAUCAAUUGAAGCAGAAAAUGAUUUUCUGAGGGUGGAAAAAUCUCUUGGGAAGAAGUUACCGACAACUCCUGCAACUCCAGACUCCUCAAAAACAGAAAUGGACAGCAGGACAAAGCGCAAGGAUUUACUGCAAAGUGAUAUUUCCAUAUGAGGCACAGAAUAAUGAUGAAAUGACAAUCAAAGAAGGAGAUAUAGUCACUCUCAUCAGCAAGGACUGCAUGAGGUAGGCUGGUGGGAAGGAGAGCUGAAUGGAAGAUGAGGCGUGUUCCCUGAUAACUUAGUGAAGUUACUUCCCCCUGACUUUGAAAAGGAAGGGAAUAGACCCAAGAAGCCACCGGCUCCAUCUGCUCCUGUCAUCAAACAAGGGACAGGUACCACUGAGAGAAAACAUGAACUUAAAAAGAUACCUCCUGAAAGACGAUAAAUGCUUCCCAACAGAACAGAAGAAAGAGACAGACCAGAGACAGACCCAAAACUGGAUUUACAGAAGCCCUCUGUUCCUGUCAUACAGCAAAAAAAAGCCUCAGCCACCUAAGACCAAUUCUCUCAGCAGACCUGGUGCACUGCCCCCAAGAAGGCCAGAGCUACCAGUGGGUCCGCUGACACACACCAGGGGUGAUUGUCCAAAGAUUGACUUGGUGGGCAGUUCAUUUUCUGGCAUCUUGGACAAAGAUCUCUUGGACUGCAGCAAUGACACCGACCUAGAAGGUUUUGACUCUGUGGUAUCAUACUGAGAAACUCAGUCAUCUGACCACAGACAGAUCAAAAGCUACGGGGAGGCAGCCUCCAUUGCAGUUCCUCACAUCUUUAUCCUUUUCAAGCCCUGAUAUCUUUGACUACCCGAGUCCUGAAGAGGAUAAGGAGGAAAACAUUCCCACUUGCGCACAGAGGAGUGGACGCACCAAAGAAAACUUCCAAGUCUGUUACCAUAUCCCAAGUGUCCGAAAACAAAGCACCCCUGCUGCCCAAGCUGAGGAUGAUGGCAGAAGCUGGUGGUGGGCCAGCCCCUCUGUCCUUGGCAGCACCCUCCCCACUGUCAUCCUGUUUGGGAACAGCUGGACACAGAGCCAACUCCCCGUCUCUGUUCGGCAUGGAAGGAAAACCAAAGAUGGAGCCAGUGGCCAGCAGCCAGGUGACCACGGAGGAGCUAAGGACACAGGUCCACGAGGGGAAGAGCAUCAUUGAGAACAUGAAGGACCAGCAGAAACAAGAGAUUAAACAGUUAUUGUCUGAGUUUGAUGAAGAGAAGAAAAUCCGGCUUCAGCUGCAGAUGGAAGUAAAUGACAAAAAGAAAGCUCUACAAUCAAAAUGAAUACUUGAUCAAUGAAAUGUCACAUUUUCAUCCUGAAUCUGAGACUCAAAUUUUUUGCCCCAGCCAAAAUAAUCUUGUGCCAAAAGAUUAAAGGUUUGCCUCAACAUGUCCUUGUUUGAAAGAUUAGCACAAAAGUCUUGAUAGAACAACACAGAUUCCAUCCAGGGGAAAUUCCAUCUUUCCCUGGGUUUAGUCCCGGGGCUGGCACUCUUUGUGACUUACACAGAGCAAAAUUGUGCUAAAGGUUUUUCUAUUCUGAGAUCUCAAUGUGAAAUGAGAACUCAGGCAGUUUAGUCCAUAGUGGUACUAUUUUGAUUAUAUUUCUCAUUAAUAAAAUGUAAUUUCAGAUUUAAAAAUUUUUUAAAUAAAAUUUAUUUAUUUUUAA